rnacentral:rRNA from 1 species
AACCCGACUCCACGAAGUUGGAUUCGCUAGUAAUCGCGCAUCAGCCAUGGCGCGGUGAAUACGUUCCCGGGCCUUGUACACACCGCCCGUCAAGCCAUGGGAGCCGGGGCGCCUGAAGUCCGGGACCGCGAGGACCGGCCUAAGGCGAAACUGGUGACUGGGCUAAGUCGUAACAAGGUAUC